AACAUUGUAACGGUCCUGUAAAAUGUUCUGUUAGUUUGUUGCUAACAUAAAAUACUAUUCCUCGUAAGGUGCUGUACUGCCGGUGAUGAACCUGGUCCCUGAUUAUUUUAUAUCCUGUUUCAUACAGAUAAACUACAUCUUGUAUCAUCCGGUCUCCUGGUCCAUAUUCACACAACGCAGAGUACUGACGAACAGCCAUAAUAAUUAAAAAGGUUACAUCCCUCUGCUAUUGAUAAUUUCAUAUACAAACAGCGGGUGACAGACUCAUCUAUGUAGGGUGGAGAUGGAACAGCAGGACAUAUGAUUGGCACAAAACACCUGAAAGAGCUCCAUGAGACAUCUGAAUAGACGGAACACACACUUGCUGAGCUAGCGAAUCAGGUUGGCCGAACCACCUUUCUGGUGAACCCCCCACAUUUCCUCGCCCCAUCCACAAAGUUGCCAAUAUCAGCUCAGAAGAAGUGGGACUGCU